UUUCAAGCCAGCUAGUGGUGACAGUGGCGAGGAAAAAAUACUUCACCAACUGAUGAAGUGAAGAGAAACUUGUCUCUCUUGGGCACGACCAUUAUUCAUGUCCAUACGUUCUGUGUGAAGCUGCAGUCUAUACACCAGGCGCUGGAGAAGCUGGACGUUCAUCGUGGAGAAGCUGCAGGAAACAGUCUCAUGCACUCCAUUUCUCCAUGAUGACCACAGCAUAAGCUCGGGAUACGGCCUGGUCCAGGAUUAUGGAUACCUUGGGAUCAUCUUCUCACAGGUCUUGGAUCGCAUCAAUGGCACUGCAGAAUCUCGGGAAUGUGUAUCCUCAGGUGGAAAUAAAAAAUAAAGAAAAUGAUUAGCUUUG